rnacentral:rRNA from 1 species
GACAUAGGUGGCGAACGUUAUCCGGAAUUAUUGGGCGUAAAGGGUGCGUAGGUGGUUUAACUAGUUAUCGGUGGGAAAUCGGGGCUCAACCUCGUGGAAGUCGGUAAUACUGUUAAACUAGAGGGUCGGAGAGGUUAACGGAAUGCUAUGUGUAGCGGUAAAAUGCGCAGAUAUCAGGAGGAACACCGAUGGCGAAGGCAGGUCUCUGGGCCACUACUGACGCUGAGAAGCGAAAGCAUGGGGAGCGAACAGG